AGGAUUUUUGAGGGGGAGCUCAAAUUCAGAGAAAAACAUGAUAGAGCUCAUGAGGAAAUUGCUUAAAUAAAGAAGCAGGAAGUUUUGAUAUAAAGUCAAGCGAAGGAGCAACUUCACACCUUGAGUUCACCAUGCAUCCAACGUACAUGAAAAUUAUUAGGUGAGUUUCUCAUAAUGUCAAUAGAAUUAAUCCAUGUAGAUUGCUGUUCAAGUAUAGAUAAUGAAAAGUAAUUUCGUCGUUUCUUUUUCGUAUAGCUUCGCCAGGUUGCUGGAUAACUUUAGAAUGAUAAUCUCGCACACUUCCUUAGUCACUGCCGUAAUAUUGGUUCUUCCCUAUUGAAAAUACAUUAAACCAAUCCUAUAUUAUUGCCACGAUAAGAACAGUUAUAUUUAUACACAAAUUAUACAAAAACUUACAUAUGCUUCUCGUAGUAGUUCCAAUCUUCAGAAAACACCAAAGAACAAUACCAUAUUUUCUGCAUAUUAUAGAUAACCACAUUGAUAAGUUUUGAAUUUAUUCAAUCCGAAAGAGUAUUAGGCAAAUAACGAAUAGGUACCUGGAUUCUUGAAGGUAUUGUAACUUCACAUUUCCUUGUCGAAAAGGUUUUGAAAAACCUCCUUGUACACAACAUUCAUCGUCGACAAUUGAUGAUUUCCAUCUUUGUCGGUAAUAAGAAUCUUUAACCCCCUCCUCGACUUGACCCGAGAAACAGCAACAUACAAUUGUCCAUGAGAGAAGACUGGUUUAGGAAGAUACAACCCAACAUUGCCUAAUGUUUGCCCUUGGCUCUUGUUAAUUGUCAUUGCAAAUGCGACUUUAAGAGGAAACUGCCUCCGCCUCAUUUUAAAUGGAAGGCUUGCAUCUGAAGGUUCAAUCAGAAGACGAUGUAAGAAGACCUUCUCUCCAACUCUAGUGCCCGUGAUGAAUUUAGCUGCGAUUAUAUGGAUUCCAAGUUGUGUUAUCUGGAGCCUAGUGCCGUUACAUAAACCUUCCGUAGGAUCUAUGUUCCUUAAAAUCAUAACCGGUGUACCAAUUCUUAGUCUUAGAGCAUGAUUAGGCAGUCCGGAAACUUUAAUGCUAUUCAAAAAUUCAGGGGAGAAGACGGAAUCAUCUUUCGAAUUCAAAUCAGAGGGAUCAAUGCUGUCUGAGCUUAAGUAAAUUCUUUCCUCACCUAAGAAAAAACGAAAAAAUAUGAAUAACAUGACAAAUUAAAUAACAUUAAACUAACAUGGGAAAUACCUUUUAGACGAUCAAGCAUAUAGUCGUUAAUUACUUCUACAUCUGCGUUGGUGGGACAUAAGAUAGCUCGCUCUUGGAAGAAAACUGGAUCUUUCGAGUCUUCGAACGUGUUCCCAUAAACUUCAGAAACAAUAGCUGCAAUUGGUUCUUUGCAUUCCUUUAUCAACAAAUCUUUUGGAAUUUCUAUCAUUGUUUCCCCAGUAUUUGGUUCAUUGAUCUUCCCAUUUCCUAAAUCCAGUAUCCAUUUCGAGAAGGUCUUUAUCUCUUCAGCCUGCUGCGGAUCAGUUUCAGCCAUUAACCUCAUGUUUUUCGUUAGUUCCAAUACCUUACAAUGCUUCCAUAAAUAGGAAGAAUUAAGAGUUGCCAAAACAAUGUCAGGUCUAGAUCCUCUCGGAAUUACGGGUAAAAUCUGUCGAAAAUCGCCUCCGAAAACCACAACUUUACCACCGAAUGGUGUUCCCUUCUGACUCUUCAUAAUAUCAGCCAUUGUUUUAUCAAGAGCUUCGAAGCAAUGCUUACUCAUCAUAGGUGCUUCAUCCCAUAUAAUCAGAGAUGCUCUAGCUAUCAGUUCUGCCUGAUUACUACCUGGUUGUAUCUUGCAAGUCGAGAACUCAUCUGGAUUGAUCGGUAUGCCAAAUCUUGAAUGCGCAGUUCUUCCACCAGGCAGUAAAAGUGAUGCUAUACCACUUGAUGCGACAUUCAGAACAAUUUCACCUCGUGAUCGAAUAGCAGCUGAUAAGAUAUUCCACAAAAAGUUUUUCCUGUCCCUCCAAAGCCGUAGACAAAAAAAACACCGCCUUGUCUGUUAAGCACAGCACCAAUUAUCUGAUCAUAGAUUGACCUUUGCUCAUCUGUCAAUUUCACAAUCCAUUCAUCAUGCUGUGAACGCAAUUCAGCUUUCGGAUAGUUAAGCUCUUCUUGUAUCAGAAGAUUUUCCGUGAAUGAUUGUGAGCUCUCGGCUGGUUUUGGCAUUGUAUCCCAAUUAUUCAGCGAACUGUUUUUGGUACGUAGUAUGUUUUCGAUCAAAACUAACGUACAGUUUAAGAUCUCUUCCUCACUCAAAAUGAGCCCUACAACA